rnacentral:misc_RNA from 1 species
AAGUCGUAACAAGGUUUCCGUAGGUGAACCUGCGGAAGGAUCAUUAACACGUAUCCAAACGUUUAAAAAAAAAAAGAAAACCCCCCUGUGAACAUUUGCUUGCUCUUGCAGCCCGCCUGGUGAACUAGUUUGAUUCAGGGACCGUCUGGUUGGGUGAGAGCCAUAGCUGCAAUCGAGAGAUCGUGGCAUAACCAAGCCUGCUCCGUAAAGUCCCCUGCGUACGUGAAAGUGGUAUUGGGGUGUAUGUACUGGAGAAACCCUUCUGGAUGAUGGACGGCCACCACGGCCGGUCGCUGCUGCUUGUGGGCGUUCGUGCCCCCCAGGAUUACCCCGCUACCAGUCGAAACGACCAACCUGCGCAACCAUUACGUGUUGAGCCCGUGGGCGUCGUAAACCGAAAUACUUGAACAACUGUUAACAAUGGAUAUCUUGGUUCUC